CCGCCGCGGAUCUCCGCGAGAGGCUGUGUUCAGUCCCUCUCUGCCUUCUGGACUCAAAAAUAGAAGGCGCACACUGCCACGCAGUCGAUGGCGCUUCUGAAGGCUGCUGAAAACGAAAAUCCACGAAGCCAGUAACCCAUGUACAAAGUGAAAUCCGUAAGAGAAGUUUCAAGCCUGGGCAGGUUGGUGAUCUUCCAAAAUGCAUAUUCAAGAUAGAGCAUCCCAGAGAGACUGGACUGGAUAGAGAAGUGUAAUCCUCUUUCCAUUCUCUUCAAAGCCUGGCUGUUUUGGAUACUUCAUGACCACUCUUGAGUAUACUCCAGCUAUGAGGACCAAGGUCUAUGGCAGCAGAAGACAGGACUUCUCCAGGAGGCCUUGCUCCAGUCACAAUGACUCAAGACAAACUGCACGCCCAAGAUAAAACAAACUCCAGUGAGCUUUAGAUGACCCUGAAGCUCACUUCAGAUGGUAUGGGAGCAUCUGGCCAGUCACUCGGCAAGCGUGCAGUGAUUGAAAUAAAAAAGAAUGAAUAGAAAUAAAAUCAUGAAGA